rnacentral:rRNA from 1 species
CAACUUCUGAAUGUUGACCUCGGAUCAGGUAGGAAUACCCGCUGAACUUAAGCAUAUCAAUAAGCGGAGG